rnacentral:lncRNA from 1 species
CUCGUUAAUAAAGAUAAAAAAAUCUUUGAAGAAAUUAUUAUACCAAUCUCUGGAGAAAUGCUUUGAAGCUGCCUUGGAGUAAGCUCUGAAAAAUUACUGAGGAAAUCAUUUGAGGUAUUUUUGGAUUGAUCUUUGAAGGAAUCAGGAAUUUCCGCGAGAUUUCUGGAAGAAUCCCAGAAGGGUUUUUUUUUCUGAAGAAUCUCACAACGAUUCUUGGAAGAUUUUCUGUUUUAUCAUAAAGAAAUUGCAAGAGGAAUACAAGAAUCAUUUCUGAAAUAAUUCUAAAAGGAUAUUUGGACGGAACAGCUCGAGAUAGAUUUAUAAAAGAACUACAGAGGGAUUUCUUGAUAAAUUUCAAAAAAAAAAAAUAUACAGAAUUCCUUGAGGGUUACCGGAAGAACUUCAGAGAUUUUUGGGAUAAUUCCAGAGGAAUUUACGGAUAAAUUUGAGGGGUCCCAGAAAAAAUCUCAGUGAGAUUUUCUGAAGAAUCUCAACGGGAUAUUCAGAAGAAUCCCAGAGAACUGUGGAAUUUCUUGAAGAAUCCUAAAGUGAUUCAAUUAUUAAUUCUAUAUUACCUUCCGAAAGAAUCCCAAAAAUAAAUGAAAGAAGAAUAGAAAAUAAUCAUUAAUGCAUAAACUUUACUUAUUCGAUCACUUUUUUUCAUAGUGUUCAAUCACCGUGCACGCGAGAAAUGAAUCUGGCCAUGGUGCAACAACCGCGCUACAUUCGAUGAAUCCUAUGCAACAAAAAUUGUCGUGACUAUCCGUCAAAUUCACUCAUCAAAACCAUUUUGAUGAAUAUAACAACACAGUUCAUAUGUUAACUAUGCGGUACACUGAAACUAAUGUUGCAGUAUUUGCAACCACUGCAUGGUUCUUAAAAUUACUAUUCAGAAUUAUGUUUAAAUUUAACGUGUUUGUCUUUACAAAUACUGCAAUAUUGUUAUAAUUACUAUGACAUCGAUCGAUAAAUUUUACUUUUACGAAGAGUCAAGAGCACUAUUGCCUUGCAUUGGAGAUAAAUACAAUAUCGUUAAUUUUGAAUGAGCAAUGUUGUCAUGUUUACCAUGUGCAUGGUAAUUUGAACAACAAAGCGUGAUGAUAAUGCCUCUAUCAACUUGGCUGUUUUUCUCCGUUAGCUUGCGAAGGAUUAACGUCAGUGCGGUCAUAGAAAGACUUAUUUUUAGUGUUUUGGCCAUAAUAAGUCCAAUGUAUUCAUAGUGACUACUCAACCCAUGCUGCUAUUAAUCCAGAGUUGAUCACAUCGUGCAAUUUCCAGACCCAAAUAAGUGAUCCAAAAUAUAAAGACUAGUUCAUUCUACUUUUAUUGAAAAUUUGAGCGAUGAGGAGUAGAUGCUGCAUGUGCCGCCAUGUUCCAAUCAGAGAUCGAUGAUGGCAAAUACGGGCAUAACAUUCUCUACAGGACACCACUACAGGCGCCGUUUAUAAAAUCCAAAAUUCAAGUUUGUUUAUGGACUAAAACAAUUAUCAUAUAAAUAAUUCUGCAAUAAAUAAUUAUGAUUUAUGUAAUUAAAUAGGUGUUUUUAAUAGGUUGGGAUGAAAAUAAGGAAUAUUCAAAUUAACUGUACGAUAGCUGGCUUUUUAAACGCAUCGCAUUGUAAAACAAAUUAUUAUGAAUUGUUCUCAAGAUUACCAUGUAGCAUGGUAAUUUUGACUGAACCGUCGAGUAUCGUCGGCAUGGUAAAAAAGACCGCACUUCCCGUUUGAAAUGAAUGUGUAACGUAGUCUGCACAAAUCAAGUGGUACAGCGCAUUUAAUUUAAACCAUCAACAUAGUAUUUUUUUACCGCAAUGCUGUUCUCAGUGUACACACAUUUCGACAAAUUACUCAAAUUUUGCAAAUUUGCCUUAUUAAAUGCAAGUAGUACUUUGAUUCGGCGG